CGUGCCCAGUCGUGGGGGAUAACGCAGCGAAAGCUGUGCUAAUACCGCAUACGAUCUCUGGAUGAAAGCGGGGGACUCGCAAGAGCCUCGCGCGAUUGGAGCGGCCGAUAUCAGAUUAGCUAGUUGGCGGGGUAAAGGCCCACCAAGGCGACGAUCUGUAGCUGGUCUGAGAGGACGACCAGCCACACUGGAACUGAGACACGGUCCAG
rnacentral:rRNA from 1 species